CGAGGAAGAAGGGGGCGAAGGAGGAGACGGACGCUGCUCCCUGGUCGCGAAGGGGCAGGAGGAACCGCCGGCGGCCGCAGCGCACCUCUUCACCGUGCACCAGCCGACUUCAGCCACGGCCAUCCAGGUGACUAUUCCCCUUCUGUAAGUGUUCUUCCUCCUGCCUCCCGCCCUCUCAGCAGACAGUCCCUGGCAGCGGCCCGGAAGGAUGUAUGCAUAUUUCUCGCCCUAAGCAACCAGAGUUGCCCGAACCGUCAGGUGAAGCCAAAGAGAGCUGUGGGAUGUGUCUACUCCAGAAGCAGGCAGUAGGCAUUUUUCCUGUUUCUUUCUUAUUCUCUUUCCCCCACCCCUCCCCAGCCCUCUUAUCUCAGCUGUGUACAAACUGAUAUGGUACUUAGCAGGAAAGUGACUGGAAAUUAAAAUAACUUCGUUCACCAGAGGUUAUCAGCUGGAUAUCUGUCAUCAUCAGUUUGUACAGAAAGAGUCAUCUGCGGCGAAGGGCUGGACUAGAACAGAGCCCGGCUCUCGGCAGCCGGCAAGACAUGAGCCCUCCCGGCAGAACCCGAGCCCAAAGCUGCUGGUGCGCGGUGCUGUCGCUCCUGGGGUAGGCACGGCUUUUCUUUCCGUCUUUCCAGGCAAGGUGAAUGAGAGGUGAAGAAUCCGCAGUGCCGAGGGUACGGUAGAACCCCGGCUGCAGCCAUCCACUGAUGGCGGGGGAGGAACCGGUUGCGACCUCCAGGUUUUAUUGCGCUUGUGAAUUUUGGUGCUGUAGCGCGGCGGGGUUUGUUCGGGAAAGAACCACUUGCCCCAGAAACUGUUUCUCCAUUAAAUUGUAUAAUUAAAGGCGCUACUUUUUUCUUGUCA